rnacentral:rRNA from 1 species
UACGAGGGGUGCAAGCGUUGCUCGGAAUUAUUGGGCGUAAAGGGCAGGUAGGUGGUCUCAUUUGUCAGGGGUGAAAGCCUUGGGCUUAACCCAAGAAGUGCCUUUGAAACGGUGAGACUGGAGUCUUGGAGAGGGUCGUGGAAUUCCCAGUGUAGCGGUGAAAUGCGUAGAGAUUGGGAGGAACACCAGCGGCGAAGGCGGCGACCUGGACAAGUACUGACACUCAACUGCGAAAGCGUGGGUAGCAAACAGG